UGAGUUCCCAUUGAUUUGACACAGAUGCU
rnacentral:piRNA from 1 species